UGUGUAGGCGGCUUGAUAAGUCAGUUGUUAAAUUUUUCGGCUCAACCGGGAGUGCGCGAUUGAAACUGUCAGGCUAGAGUGCGGGAGAGAAAGGUAGAAUUCUCGGAGUAGCGGUAAAAUGCGUAGAUCUCGAGAGGAAUACCGGUUGCGAAGGCGGCCUUUUGGCCCGCUACUGACGCUGAAACACGAAAGCGUGGGGAGCAAACAGGAUUAGAUACCCUGGUAGUCC
rnacentral:rRNA from 1 species